GACGAACGCUGGCGGCGUGCCUAAUGCAUGCAGGUCGAGCGACGCAUGCCCGGUGGGUAACCACGGGGUAUGACGGAGCGGCGAACGGGUGAGUAACACGUGAGUAACCUGCCCCGAAGAUCGGGAUAGCCCGGGAAACCCGGAUUAAUACCGAAUACCCUCUCUGGAUCGCAUGGUCCGGUGAGGAAAAGCCUUUGUGCUUCGGGAUGGACUCGCGGCCUAUCAGCUAGUUGGUGAGGUAACGGCUCACCAAGGCAACGACGGGUAGCUGGUCUGAGAGGACGAUCAGCCACACUGGGACUGAGACACGGCCCAGACUCCUACGGGAGGCAGCAGCAGGGAAUCUUGUCCAAUGGGCGAAAGCCUGAGACAGCGACGCCGCGUGAGGGAUGAAGGCCUUCGGGUUGUAAACCUCUUUCAGGAGGGACGAAAUUGACGGUACCUCCAGAAGAAGCCCCGGCCAACUACGUG
rnacentral:rRNA from 1 species